AGCAAUACCACACUGAUAUGGGUAUGGACCAGAGGUCUCUCGAAGGAUAAUAUAGGCACUCCAUACCUUGCUCCGACUCAAUACGUCCACGUUUUGCAAAAUGGAAACAUAUCUCUACAAAUAUCUGAGUUUGGGUAUACGGGGAAACCCAACCCCUUGGGAAGAUAUAAUCCCUUGGGGGUUAUAUGGCUACACGGAGGGGA
rnacentral:ribozyme from 1 species